GACGAACGCUGGCGGCGUGCUUAACACAUGCCAGUCGAACGGAAAGGCCUUUUCGGAGGUACUCGAGUGGCGAACGGGUGAGUAACACGUGGGUGAUCUGCCCUGCACUCUGGGAUAAGCCUGGGAAACUGGGUCUAAUACCGGAUAGGACCGCACUUUAGUGUGUGUGGUGGAAAGUUGUUUCGGUGUAGGAUGAGCCCGCGGCCUAUCAGCUUGUUGGUGGGGUAAUGGCCUACCAAGGCGGCGACGGGUAGCCGGACUGAGAGGUUGGUCGGCCACAUUGGGACUGAGAUACGGCCCAGACUCCUACGGGAGGCAGCAGUGGGGAAGAGUGCACAAUGGGCGAAAGCCUGAUGCAGCGACGCCGCGUGGGGGAUGACGGCCUUCGGGUUGGAAACUCCGUUCGCCAGGGACGAAGCGUUUUGUGACGGUACCUGGAGAAGAAGCACCGGCUAACUACGUG
rnacentral:rRNA from 1 species